UACGUAGGUGGCAAGCGAUACUCGGAAUCACUAGGCGUAAAGCGCAGGUAGGCGGUUUAGUAAGUCUUUUGUGAAAGCUCCUGGCUUAACUGGGAGAGGUCAAAGGAAACUACUAGGCUAGAGUUUGGUAGGGGAUACUGGAAUUCCUGGUGUAGCGGUGAAAUGCGUAGAUAUCAGGAGGAAUACCUAUGGCGAAAGCAGGUAUCUGGGCCACAACUGACGCUGAGCUGCGAAAGCUAGGGGAGCAAACAGG
rnacentral:rRNA from 1 species